GAUGAACGCUGGCGGCGUGCUUAACACAUGCAAGUCGAACGAUGACGCCCAGAUUGCUGGGUGGAUUAGUGGCGAACGGGUGAGUAACACGUGAGUAACCUGCCCUUAACUCUGGCAUAAGCCUUGGAAACUGGGUCUAAUACCGGAUAGGAGCGUCCACCGCAUGGUGGGUGUUGGAAAGAUUUAUCGGUUUUGGAUGGACUCGCGGCCUAUCAGCUUUUUCGUGAGGUAAUGGCUCACCAAGGCCACGACGGGUAGCCGGCCCGGGAGGGUGACCGGCCACAAUGCUACUAAGGCACGGCGCAGAGGGCUAUGGGAGGCAGCAGGGGGAAACAUUGCACAAUCGUAGCGAGCGUGAUACAGCGGCGUCGAGGUAGGGAAGACGGCUUUCUGGUUAUGAACCUCUUUCGGUAGUGAAGAAGCGGAAGUGACGGUACCUGCAGAAGAAGCACCGGCUAACUACGUG
rnacentral:rRNA from 1 species